rnacentral:piRNA from 1 species
UGAGUACUUCCAUAACAGUCCACUCUGGCA